CUAAGAUAUAUCUUUUAAUGUGUUAAAAUGUAUAUUUUUAAUAAUAGGUGCUGGGGGUAUGGCUUGGGGUGUGGUCAGAUUUUCCUGCUUUUUUGUCUUUAGCUGAUCACAUGCCUGAAGGUUGUUAUUGUUGCAUUAUUGUUUUGGUUUGUGCAGAAGCGUGCGUCACUGUCUACUCAGAAAGUUUGCUUGUUGGACUAACUACGUUGCUUAUUCUGAUCGCUUAUACGCUGGCCUUUUUCGUCUGGACUUCAUUUGGCCUGUUUUUACUGAUGGCAUAAAUGAUGUGUGCUUCACAGGGAAGUGGUAAAUGGUCCCUGGUUGUCAACACAACAGUAUUCUAUCACAGUCUUUUGGCAGUAAAUAUUUUGAUGACAAAGCUGGUUCGUCUUCUGAAACUGCACCUAUAUCCAAAGAGCAAAGAACAAAGAAGAGUUUCUCCUGUGCCAUCUGUGGAAAAACAUUCAGCAAACAGUGUAAUUUAACAAGACAUGCCAGAAAGAAAAAACACACAGAACAGAAUAACUUCACCUGCAAGAUAUGCAACAUCAGUUUUCCUACCUUCAAAGAGAGAACACUUCAUUCAAAAGAGCACAGCGUGAAGAAGGAGUUUCGCUGUGAACAGUGCGGGAAGGAUCUUUUCACCACUC